UUUUGGCCUACACCAGUGAAAAGCUCUUUCACAUGAGAACUGCGACCCUUAGAAUUUAAAAAUAUCCAAUUAGGGUUUAAAUCACGAGCCUUUGUAUCCCAAUUAGGGGUCCUUUGAUCUAACAAAUUUCACUUUCGUUCCAAAUUCUCAUACGCAUAACACCGCGAAUCCACGCUAAUUCCCAAUUCGUCAUUCGCGCUUCGGUUCUAGCGCCAUGGCGGUGGAGAACCCACAAGAUUCGUUGAAGAAGCUCGAGUACUUGUCUCUUGUUUCGAAGGUUUGCACCGAAAUGGAGUCUCACACCGGAAACGGUGACAAUGUACUCGCCGAGUUCAUCACCGAGUUGGGUCGGUCUUCCGAGAACGUCGAAGAAUUCGACGCAAAAUUGAAGGAGAACGGUGCCGAAUUGCCGGAUUAUUUUGUCCGUACACUUCUCACAAUAAUCCACGCUAUUCUCCCUCCGAAGAAGGGUUCUGGGAACAGCGACGUCAAGGGUUCGAAGCAGGACGGUGGUGGUUCGAAGGGGAAGUUCAAGGCACUGGCUAUUGCAGAUGAUAGGGAUAGGGUUAAGGAGCUGCAGAAGGAGAUUGAAGCUGAAGCCAAAGAGAAACAUGGUGGUGAUAGAGACAGAGAAAUACACGGUGAAGAUGGGAACAGAGGAAGAGACAGAGAUAGAAGGGACAGAAGAGAUAGAAGGGACAGGUAUGAUAAAUAUGAUAGAGAUGAAAGGCAUAGAGAUAGGAAUAGAGAUAGAGAUAGAGAUAGAGAUUAUGAUGAUUAUGAUGAUGAAAAAGGGGAUUCUAGGAGAAGGGGAAGGGAUAGAGAGAACGAUAGGGGUAGGGAUAAGGAUAAGGAUAGAUAUGAGAGGCGGAGGAGAGAUGGGCGUGAAGAAGAAAAUGGUGGUUAUGGUGAAGAAGAUGGUGGUGGUGACAGGAAAGGUAGGAGGGAUCUGAGGCAUAGUGGAGGGGGUGAAGUUGAAUUGUACAAGGUUUAUAAAGGGAGGGUUUCAAGGGUGAUGGAUACAGGGUGCUUUGUUCAGUUGGAUGAUAUUAGAGGGAAGGAAGGAUUGGUGCAUGUGUCACAAAUUGCAACUAGGAGGAUUAGUAAUGCAAAGGAUGUGGUGAAGCGGGAUCAGGAGGUUUAUGUGAAGGUUAUAUCUGUUUCUGGUCAGAAGUUGAGUCUUUCGAUGAGGGAUGUUGAUCAGCAUACCGGAAAAGAUCUUCUUCCGUUGAAGAAAAGCGAUGAGGACACGUUUCGGAUGAAUCCACAGGAUUCGAAGGAUGGGCCAGUUGCGAGGACGGGUCUAUCGGGUAUCAGAAUUGUGGAGGAGGAUGAUAUGGGGAAAUCGCGGAGGCCUCUGAAGAGGAUGAGCUCUCCUGAGAGGUGGGAGGCAAAACAGUUGAUUGCUUCGGGUGUUUUGAGUGUUUCAGAGUACCCAACUUAUGAUGAGGAGGGAGAUGGGUUGAUGUACCAGGAGGAAGGUGCUGAAGAAGAGCUUGAGAUCGAGUUGAAUGAGGAUGAACCUGCAUUUUUGCAAGGGCAGAGCAGGUAUUCAAUGGAUAUGUCUCCUGUCAAGAUUUUCAAAAAUCCAGAAGGUUCUCUUGGUCGUGCUGCUGCACUGCAGUCUGCACUUAUAAAGGAGCGUAGAGAAGUACGAGAACAGCAGCAACGCACCAUGCUUGAUUCUAUUCCAAAGGAUCUCAAUCGUCCUUGGGAAGACCCUAUGCCCGAAUCUGGUGAAAGACAUCUUGCCCAGGAGCUUAGAGGAGUUGGUUUGUCAGCCUAUGAUAUGCCAGAAUGGAAGAAGGAUGCCUAUGGAAAGACCAUUACUUUUGGGCAAAGGUCAAAGCUUUCUAUUCAAGAACAGAGGCAGAGUCUCCCUAUUUACAAGUUGAAAAAAGAAUUGAUUCAGGCUGUCCAUGAUAAUCAGGUGUUGGUGGUAAUUGGUGAAACGGGUUCAGGUAAAACUACUCAGGUAACACAGUAUCUUGCUGAAGCAGGUUACACGACAAGAGGUAAAAUUGGAUGCACUCAACCUCGUAGGGUGGCUGCAAUGUCAGUUGCAAAGAGAGUUGCAGAAGAGUUUGGAUGUCGAUUGGGAGAGGAAGUUGGUUAUGCCAUUCGGUUUGAAGAUUGUACGGGACCAGAUACUGUAAUCAAGUACAUGACCGACGGUAUGCUUCUUAGGGAAAUACUGGUUGAUGAGAACCUGUCACAGUAUUCUGUCAUAAUGCUUGAUGAAGCUCACGAAAGGACCAUUCAUACUGAUGUUCUUUUUGGACUGCUUAAGAAGCUAGUGCAGCGUAGGCCUGAGUUGCGAUUGAUUGUCACGUCUGCCACUCUGGAUGCAGAGAAGUUCUCAGGAUAUUUCUUUAAUUGUAACAUCUUUACAAUACCUGGGAGAACGUUUCCUGUGGAGAUUCUUUAUACUAAGCAGCCAGAAAGUGAUUAUUUGGAUGCAGCUUUGAUCACUGUCCUACAGAUCCACCUGACAGAACCUGAAGGAGACAUUCUUCUCUUCUUGACUGGUCAAGAGGAGAUUGAUUUUGCUUGUCAAUCUCUCUAUGAAAGAAUGAAGGGUUUAGGUAAGAAUGUUCCAGAACUGAUAAUAUUACCUGUUUAUAGUGCCCUUCCUAGUGAAAUGCAGUCUAGGAUAUUCGACCCUGCUCCUCCUGGUAAAAGGAAAGUGGUUGUGGCAACUAAUAUUGCUGAGGCUUCUUUGACUAUUGAUGGGAUAUUUUAUGUUAUUGAUCCUGGGUUUGCAAAGCAAAAUGUUUAUAACCCAAAGCAAGGACUUGAUUCGUUGGUGAUAACUCCAAUUUCACAAGCUUCAGCCAAACAAAGAGCUGGACGUGCAGGGCGUACUGGACCUGGAAAGUGCUAUCGCCUAUAUACCGAGAGCGCAUAUAGGAACGAGAUGUCUCCUACUACAAUUCCUGAGAUUCAAAGGAUAAAUCUUGGGAUGACUACUCUCAACAUGAAAGCUAUGGGAAUAAAUGAUCUUCUGUCCUUUGAUUUUAUGGAUCCACCAUCACCCCAAGCUCUUAUUUCAGCCAUGGAACAGCUUUACAGUCUCGGAGCAUUGGAUGAAGAGGGCCUUUUAACCAAACUGGGGAGGAAAAUGGCAGAAUUUCCCCUGGAUCCGCCAUUGUCCAAGAUGUUACUUGCCAGUGUGGACCUUGGAUGCAGUGAUGAGAUUUUGACGAUAAUUGCCAUGAUUCAGACUGGCAAUAUUUUUUACAGGCCUAGGGAAAAGCAAGCCCAAGCAGAUCAGAAGAGGGCAAAGUUUUUCCAGCCUGAAGGUGACCAUCUCACACUGCUUGCUGUUUAUGAGGCUUGGAAAGCUAAGAAUUUUUCAGGACCAUGGUGUUUUGAGAACUUUGUCCAAUCUCGAUCAUUGAGGAGAGCACAGGAUGUCAGGAAACAGCUUCUUACCAUCAUGGAUAAGUAUAAAUUGGAUGUUGUAAGUGCUGGAAAAAAUUUUACCAAGAUCAGAAAGGCAAUCACCGCAGGAUUCUUUUUCCAUGCAGCAAGGAAGGAUCCCCAGGAAGGCUACAGAACCCUAGUUGAGAACCAGCCUGUAUAUAUCCAUCCAAGUUCAGCUUUGUUCCAGAGACAACCCGACUGGGUCAUCUACCAUGAACUUGUUAUGACAACCAAGGAAUAUAUGCGUGAGGUCACAGUGAUAGAUCCUAAAUGGCUUGUUGAAUUGGCACCAAGAUUCUUCAAAGUAUCAGAUCCUACAAAGAUGAGCAAGCGAAAGCGUCAAGAGCGUAUUGAACCACUCUAUGACAGAUACCAUGAGCCAAAUUCAUGGCGUUUGAGUAAACGCCGUGCUUGAUAUUUCAGGAACAUAGUGCAGUGCCACAGGCUCCCUCUGGGCAAAGAUUCAAGAUCUGGGAUCAAUGUGAUGGUGUAAUCUAUAUUCCUGUGAGAUAUCUUCUGAGUUUGUAUUCUCAGUAGAUGAUCUACAAGGUUUCCGGACCCUCUGCCUGGUUGAUCACAUGAGCUGAUCUCAGAAGUCAGAAGGAUGUGAGCCUUGACCAAGGAGAGGUGCUUUUGCCAACACAGUUUUUUAAGCAACGAUUGUCAGAUGAUUAGAAAAGGUCAAGAGAGAACAAUUCGGCUGUGUUUGCUGGUGGAAUUUGAACUUGGCUAGAUAGAAAUUGAAGUGGAGGUUAGUCUGGAACCCUUGCACCUAAUGGCUGAUAGGAAUGUCACUCACAGUGAUCACUAGCACACGAGAUGACGUUCUUUCCUGGUGUUAGUUAUAUUCAUGAUGAAGCACUGAGUAUUGGCUGAGUAGGGGCAGUGAAUCUUCAUUUUGGUCAUAUUACUAGGCUUGCAAUAGGAAUAAUUAUUCUGAUGCGUGAUGCAUUUUUCCUUGGUAUUUGAAUAAGUUGCUCCUCUCAUGGUUGAGCAACAAAAAAAAAAUGGCAUUACACUGACGUGUGAACUAUGUGAGGUUAGAAAUUUUUUGUAAAAUGGCAAUGCUUCGUGAAUUAUUUAACUUUUAGAAGAGA